CCUACGGGGGGCAGCAGUGGGGAAUUUUGGACAAUGGGCGCAAGCCUGAUCCAGCUAUUCCGCGUGUGGGAAGACGGCCUUCGGGUUGUAAACCACUUUUGUAGAGAACGAAAAGUCUAUUGAUAAUACCGAUAGAUGAUGACGGUACUCUAAGAAUAAGCACCGGCUAACUACGUGCCAACAGCCGCGGUAAUACGUAGGGUGCGAGCGUUAAUCGGAAUUACUGGGCGUAAAGGGUGUGCAGGCGGUUUUGCAAGAUGGAUGUGAAAGCCCCGGGCUUAACCUGGGAAAGCCAUACAUGACUGCAAGACUAGAGUGCGUCAGAGGGGGGUGGAAUUCCAAGUGUAGCAGUGAAAUGCGUAGAUAUUUGGAAGAACACCGAUGGCGAAGGCAGCCCCCUGGGACGCAACUGACGCCCAUACACGAAAGCGUGGGGAGCAAACAGGAUUAGAUACCCUUGUAGUC
rnacentral:rRNA from 1 species